rnacentral:rRNA from 1 species
UACGAAGGGGGCUAGCGUUGCUCGGAAUCACUGGGCGUAAAGGGUGCGUAGGCGGGUCUUUAAGUCAGGGGUGAAAUCCUGGAGCUCAACUCCAGAACUGCCUUUGAUACUGAAGAUCUUGAGUUCGGGAGAGGUGAGUGGAACUGCGAGUGUAGAGGUGAAAUUCGUAGAUAUUCGCAAGAACACCAGUGGCGAAGGCGGCCAACUGGUCCGGAACUGACGCUGAGGUGCGAAAGCGUGGGGAGCAAACAGG